rnacentral:rRNA from 1 species
UACGAAGGGGGCUAGCGUUGCUCGGAAUCACUGGGCGUAAAGGGCGCGUAGGCGGCGUUUUUAAGUCGGGGGUGAAAGCCUGUGGCUCAACCACAGAAUUGCCUCGAUACUGGACGGCUCGAGACCGGAAGAGGUCAGUGGAACUGCGAGUGUAGAGGUGAAAUUCGUAGAUAUUCGCAAGAACACCAGUGGCGAAGGCGGCUCACUGGCCCGAUACUGACGCUGAGGCACGAAAGCGUGGGGAGCAAACAGGG